rnacentral:lncRNA from 1 species
AAAUUGCUGUUUAUGAACCUGCUGUAAACACUUAUGUGAUUCAAGCCUCUUAAAGGACAGUAAAUUACGUGUGAAAAUUUCAUGGCUGAAUAAGUGGCAGUAACAUGGCACUCAUUCUGGAUGCACACAUCAAAGAAAGACAAAAGUUGGAACUUUUAAGAUGGAAAUUAGUGGGUUCUAUGCUUUGUCCUUCUGGAAACCUCAGAUCCAAAACGUCAGAAAUUGGGGGAGUAAUUGUGACUCACUUCUGUUUCUUGCCACAUGAAAAAAAAAGAACCAGUCCCAAGGUCUACCAACUAACUGGUCAAGUAAUUAUACAGUAAGCAAGGGUAUUUGAACCUAUUGUGAAUACAAGGUGAAAAGAAUCAGAUGGCCAUGAAACUGCUCCUUUAUUACUAAACUGGAAUGAAAGGAGAUAGAGAAUUUGCACAUCUGCUCCCAAAAUCCGGGUGGCCUGACGAGAAGAGCUUAAAAAUGUGCUAGGCUUUAAUUAAUUAUGAAGAAUGUUGGUUCUUGCUUAGUGCUUGUUGUAUGGCUCUACAGAUACCAAAGCUUUUUAGUUAAAAAGGAAGAUCAGAAAAAAGCCUGUUGCUGAGAACAGAACGGACACUCCAUAAAAAUAAGGGUUGAUCAGAAGUGUCAUAAAGGUUUGAGUUUGUGGAUGUGUGAUCACCCCUCCCCCCUAAAAUGGAAGUUAAAGGCAAGUGCUUGCAAUUAUGGUAGGCCAGGAUUUUUUCCAAGAUAAUUUUCAUCAGAAUGUGACAAUUUAUUAAAAGGCAUUAUGAAAAGGUCAGUUUUUGAAAAAGCUUCAGAAAGAAAGUUAUUUCAAGUCAAAAUUGAAGACCUGAUAAUAAGAGACCUAUCAGCAUGGUUCUCCUAACAUUCAUUAGGGGGUGAGAGGAGCAAGGUCUUAGGUCUGGUUAAGUGGCUAUUCCUGUCUUUUCCAUCAGAAAACUUCAGGUUAGCGGCAGUACAGAAAGGGAUUAAGAAAAAAAGUUUAGCAUAGAUGUUCUGAAGCAAUCAGUCUUGCGCCAGUCAUAUUUUUUAUAAGCAUAACCCUUCUUGAACCGUAUCACCCUCACAUUUUAUCACUAUCUCAGUGAGGUAUUUUACAGCAGUUUUAUUUUCAAAAUUUAUCCUCAACAGGGAAAAUGAUCAUUUUAUGAAUGAAUAGGGAAGUACCCAAGAUCACUGAAACCUGAACUGGCCAAACAAGUGAAGUUUUAGGUGGUAGUCUACUUCUACAUUAAUUGUAAAAUACCUUCCCUACCUUUGUUCAUUCUCUCCAAGCUAAUUUGCUCUGUACAUGCUCAAGUUUUGAAU